rnacentral:misc_RNA from 1 species
GAAAUGUGAUAAGUAAUGUGAAUUGCAGAAUUCAGUGAAUCAUCGAAUCUUUGAACGCACAUUGCGCCCGCCAGCACUCUGGCGGGCAUGCCUGUUCGAGCGUCAUUUCAACCCUCAGAACCCCUUGCGGGAUCUGGCGUUGGGGAUUGGCAUCCAGCCAGCCCCGAAAUCUAGUGGCGGUCCCUCCGCGACCUCCCCUGUGCAGUAGCGAUACCUCGCAGCGGGACAGCGGUCUGACCACGCCGUAAAACCCCCAACUUCUCUAGGUUGACCUCGAAUCAGGUAGGAAUACCCGCUGAACUUAAGC